GACGAACGCUGGCGGCGUGCUUAACACAUGCAAGUCGAACGGAAAGGCCCUGCUUGCAGGGUCCUCGAGUGGCGAACGGGUGAGUAACACGUGGGUGAUCUGCCCUGCACUUCGGGAUAAGCCUGGGAAACUGGGUCUAAUACCGGAUAGGAGCCAUUUUUAGUGUGAUGGUUGGAAAGUUUUUUCGGUGUAGGAUGAGCUCGCGGCCUAUCAGCUUGCUGGUGGGGUAAUGGCCUACCAAGGCGGCGACGGGUAGCCGGCCUGAGAGGGUGGACGGCCACAUUGGGACUGAGACACGGCCCAGACUCCUACGGGAGGCAGCAGUGGGGAAUAUUGCACAAUGGGCGCAAGCCUGAUGCAGCGACGCCGCGUGGGGGAUGACGGCCUUCGGGUUGUAAACUCCUUUCGCUAGGGACGAAGCUUUUUGUGACGGUACCUAGAUAAGAAGCACCGGCUAACUACGUG
rnacentral:rRNA from 1 species